rnacentral:rRNA from 1 species
CCUACGGGGGGCAGCAGUGGGGAAUAUUGCACAAUGGGCGCAAGCCUGAUGCAGCCAUGCCGCGUGUAUGAAGAAGGCCCUAGGGUUGUAAAGUACUUUCAGUCGGGAGGAAGGCGUUGAUGCUAAUAUCAUCAACGAUUGACGUUACCGACAGAAGAAGCACCGGCUAACUCCGUGCCAGCAGCCGCGGUAAUACGGAGGGUGCAAGCGUUAAUCGGAAUUACUGGGCGUAAAGCGCACGCAGGCGGUUGAUUAAGUUAGAUGUGAAAUCCCCGGGCUUAACCUGGGAAUGGCAUCUAAGACUGGUCAGCUAGAGUCUUGUAGAGGGGGGUAGAAUUCCAUGUGUAGCGGUGAAAUGCGUAGAGAUGUGGAGGAAUACCGGUGGCGAAGGCGGCCCCCUGGACAAAGACUGACGCUCAGGUGCGAAAGCGUGGGGAGCAAACAGGAUUAGAUACCCCUGUAGUC